AUUGAACGCUGGCGGCAGGCCUAACACAUGCAAGUCGAACGGUAGCACAGAGAGCUUGCUCUCGGGUGACGAGUGGCGGACGGGUGAGUAAUGUCUGGGAAACUGCCCGAUGGAGGGGGAUAACUACUGGAAACGGUAGCUAAUACCGCAUAACGUCGCAAGACCAAAGUGGGGGACCUUCGGGCCUCACACCAUCGGAUGUGCCCAGAUGGGAUUAGCUAGUAGGUGGGGUAAUGGCUCACCUAGGCGACGAUCCCUAGCUGGUCUGAGAGGAUGACCAGACACCUUGGAACUGAGACACGGUCCAGACUCCUACGGGAGGCAGCAGUGGGGAAUAUUGCACAAUGGGCGCAAGCCUGAUGCAGCCAUGCCGCGUGUAUGAAGAAGGCCUUCGGGUUGUAAAGUACUUUCAGCGGGGAGGAAGGCGGUGGGGUUAAUAACUUCACCGAUUGACGUUACCCGCAGAAGAAGCACCGGCUAACUCCGUGCCAGCCGCCGCCGUAA
rnacentral:rRNA from 1 species